CCAAUAGCGUAUAUUAAAGUUGUUGCAGUUAAAAAGCUCGUAGUUGAAUUUCGGGGUUCUACCGUUGGUCGGGCAAUAGUCUGUACUGGCGUGUAGAAUUUCUACCUUCUGGGGAACCAUCAUGUUAUUUAUUUAGCGUGGUGGGAAACCAGGACCUUUACCUUGAAAAAAUUAGAGUGUUCAAAGCAGGCUUACGUCUGAAUACAUUAGCAUGGAAUAAUAAAAUAGGACGGUGGUCCUGUUUUGUUGGUUUCUGAAUCACCGUAAUGAUUAAUAGGGAUAGUUGGGGGCAUUAGUAUUCAAUUGUCAGAGGUGAAAUUCUUGGAUUUAUUGAAGACUAACUUCUGCGAAAGCAUUUGCCAAGGAUGUUUUCAUUAAUCAAGAACGAAAGUUAGGGGAUCGAAGACGAUCAGAUACCGUCGUAGUCUUAACCAUAAACUAUGCCGACUAGGGAUCGGACGAUGUUAAUUUUUCUUGACUCGUUCGGCGCCUUACGGGAAACCAAAGUGUUUGGNUUC
rnacentral:rRNA from 1 species